UAGGGAAUCUUCCGCAAUGGACGCAAGUCUGACGGAGCAACGCCGCGUGAGUGAAGAAGGAUUUCGGUUCGUAAAACUCUGUUGUUAGAGAAGAACAGCGCAUAGAGUAACUGUUAUGCGUGUGACGGUAUCUAACCAGAAAGCCACGGCUAACUACGUGCCAGCAGCCGCGGUAAUACGUAGGUGGCAAGCGUUGUCCGGAUUUAUUGGGCGUAAAGCGAGCGCAGGCGGUCAAUUAAGUCGGAUGUGAAAGCCCCCGGCUCAACCGGGGAGGGUCAUUGGAAACUGGUUGACUUGAGUGCAGAAGAGGAGAGUGGAAUUCCAUGUGUAGCGGUGAAAUGCGUAGAUAUAUGGAGGAAAACCAGUGGCGAAGGCGACUCUCUGGUCUGUAACUGACGCUGAGGCUCGAAAGCGUGGGUAGCAAACAGG
rnacentral:rRNA from 1 species